ACACCAAUGGUGAAGCGGUUAUCAUGCUUGCCUUCCACCUUUUCCGGAUUUCAAAGCAAGCGGCACGGGUUCGACUCCCGUUUGGUGUA